rnacentral:rRNA from 1 species
UCGAGGAUCUUCGGCAAUGGGCGAAAGCCUGACCGAGCGACGCCGCGUGUGCGAUGAAGGCCUUCGGGUUGUAAAGCACUGUCGAGGGGGAGAAAAGGCAACCUGAUCGACCCCUGGAGGAAGCUCGGGCUAAGUUCGUGCCAGCAGCCGCGGUAAGACGAACCGAGCGAACGUUAUUCGGAAUCACUGGGCUUAAAGGGCGCGUAGGCGGGCCGUCAAGUCAGGGGUGAAAGCCUCCAGCUCAACUGGAGAAGUGCCUUUGAUACUGGCGGCCUCGAGGGAGGUAGGGGCGUGCGGAACUUCCGGUGGAGCGGUGAAAUGCGUAGAUAUCGGAAGGAACACCAGUGGCGAAGGCGGCGCGCUGGACCUCUUCUGACGCUGAGGCGCGAAAGCCAGGGGAGCGAACGGGAUUAGAUACCCCGGUAGUCC